UUACUGGGCGUAAAGCGCAUGCAGGUGGUUUGUUAAGUCAGAUGUGAAAGCCCGGGGCUCAACCCCGGAAGGUCAUUUGAAACUGGCAAACUAGAGUACUGUAGAGGGGGGUAGAAUUUCAGGUGUAGCGGUGAAAUGCGUAGAGAUCUGAAGGAAUACCAGUGGCGAAGGCGGCCCCCUGGACAGAUACUGACACUCAGAUGCGAAAGCGUGGAGAGCAAACAGGAUUAGAUACCCUGGUAGUCCACGCCGUAAACGAUGUCUACUUGAAGGUUGUGGCCUUGAGCCGUGGCUUUCGGAGCUAACGCGUUAAGUAGACCGCCUGGGGAGUACGGUCGCAAGAUUAAAACUCAAAUGAAUUGACGGGGGCCCGCACAAGCGGUGGAGCAUGUGGUUUAAUUCGAUGCAACGCGAAGAACCUUACCUACUCUUGACAUCCAUAGAAGCCAGUGGAGACACAGGCGUGCCUUCGGGAGCUCUGAGACAGGUGCUGCAUGGCUGUCGUCAGCUCGUGUUGUGAAAUGUUGGGUUAAGUCCCGCAACGAGCGCAACCCUUAUCCUUAAUUGCCAGCGAGUUAUGUCGGGAACUUUGGGGAGACUGCCGGUGAUAAACCGGAGGAAGGUGGGGACGACG
rnacentral:rRNA from 1 species